CAGCCAACCUCCCGGGCACCGUUGCCCGCCCGGGGCCCGCUACCGGCCCAGGCCCCGCCUCGCGAGUCCUCCUCCCCGGGUGCCUGCCCGCAGCCCGCCCGGCCCAGAGGGUGGGCGCGGGGCUGCCUCUACCGGCUGGCAGCGGUAACUCAGCGACCUUGGCCCGAAGGCUCUAGCAAGGACCCACCGACCCCAGCCGCGGCGGCGGCGGCGCGGACUUUGCCCGGUGUGUGGGGCGGAGCGGACUGCGUGUCCGCGGACGGGCAGCGAAGAUGUUAGCCUUCGCUGCCAGGACCGUGGACCGAUCCCAGGGCUGUGGUGUAACCUCAGCGGCCAGGCAGUCUCUGUCCUCCAGCCAAGUUUUCCCUCAUCAAAACGAUCUUCGCAGAUUCUGACAGGUGGAUUUUUUAUUACCUUUUGGCCUGACUACCUGGCAC
rnacentral:lncRNA from 1 species